GACGAACGCUGGCGGCGUGCCUAAUACAUGCAAGUAGAACGCUGAAGGAGGAGCUUGCUUCUCUGGAUGAGUUGCGAACGGGUGAGUAACGCGUAGGUAACCUGCCUGGUAGCGGGGGAUAACUAUUGGAAACGAUAGCUAAUACCGCAUAAGAGUAGAUGUCGCAUGACAUUUGCUUAAAAGGUGCAAUUGCAUCACUACCAGAUGGACCUGCGUUGUAUUAGCUAGUUGGUGAGGUAACGGCUCACCAAGGCAACGAUACAUGGCCGACCUGAGAGGGUGAUCGGCCACACUGGGACUGAGACACGGCCCAGACUCCUACGGGAGGCAGCAGUAGGGAAUCUUCGGCAAUGGACGGAAGUCUGACCGAGCAACGCCGCGUGAGUGAAGAAGGGUUUCGGAUCGUAAAGCUCUGUUGUAAGAGAAGAACGAGUGUGAGAGUGGAAAGUUCACACUGUGACGGUAUCUUACCAGAAAGGGACGGCUAACUACGUG
rnacentral:rRNA from 1 species